GCUGCCCCCUCUUGAAAGACGACGAUCGAGACAGAGUCGCGCGCGACAUCCAAAGUCGCCAUCGCAGCGGCAACCGAGCCCGGCAGAGGGAACCAUGUGGGCAACGGCGCACUGUGCCAUUCGACAAAAGGAGAUACAGCGCAACGCCGCAAGAGGGAUUCGGUAUCGGCGCCGCCGUCGUUGUUGCCGCUGCUGGUGUCCAAUAGGGGAACGACGUCUCUUUCCGACAAUUGCAGCGUCGAUCUCGUGUGCUCGCUAUGACGCGCAGAGGCAACAACAGAGUCGACCGUGCGCGCGCGAUCGCCCCCUUGUGACAGCAGCACGACUUUGACGCGGCUCGUCGCCGGCGGGUCGUGUGCGUCCGCCGGGGCGCAGGCAGAGCGGGCGACAGCGUGUAGAGACAAGGGCGGCCAUCUCACUUCCGCGUCGGUCAUAUCGCUGUGUGGCCGCGGCAGAUAACGAGAGAAAGAGGCGAGCGAGAAAAGAAAAACAGGUCGAUGUUGGAUACGAGCAGGUCGAGAAGAAGGAGAGAGAGACAGCGACGGCACAGAGCAACGCAAGGAGCAAGAGAAAAUUUGGAAAAGGUGGCAGAGGCAAAAGACGAAUGGAUGAGACGGGGGUUGGGGAAAAAGACAAAAGGGUAUUGCCUUGUCAACGAUUGCGCGUGGGCGGCUGUUUGAUCGGCCCAAUGUAUGCCAUGCCAAGAGUGGCCGCAAUGGAGCCGUUGUAGUGCGUGCCUUUUUUUUUGA
rnacentral:lncRNA from 1 species